rnacentral:rRNA from 1 species
UACGUAGGGGGCAAGCGUUGUCCGGAAUCAUUGGGCGUAAAGCGCGCGUAGGCGGCCCGGUAAGUCCGCUGUAAAAGUCCAGGGCUCAACCCUGGAAAGCCGGUGGAUACUGUCGGGCUAGAGUCCGGAAGAGGCGAGUGGAAUUCCAGGUGUAGCGGUGAAAUGCGUAGAUAUCUGGAGGAACACCGGUGGCGAAGGCGGCGUUCUGGACUGCAACUGACACUGAGGAACGAAAGCCAGGGGAGCAAACGGG